UGGGAAGUAUAGUCCCAUGUGCCUAGGAAG
rnacentral:piRNA from 1 species